rnacentral:rRNA from 1 species
GGAUGCCUUGGGUCUGAAAGUCGAUGAAGGACGCGAUUACCUGCGAUAAGCUUCGUGGAGUUGGAAAUAAACUAUGAUACGGAGAUUUCCGAAUGGGGUAACCUAACUGAGCAAACCUCAGUUGCAUUUUGAUGAAUCCAUAGUCAAAUUAGCGAGACACGUUGCGAAUUGAAACAUCUUAGUAGCAACAGGAAAAGAAAAUAAAUAAUGAUUUCGUCAGUAGUGGCGAGCGAAAGCGAAAGAGCCCAAACCUGUAAAAAGGGGUUGUAGGACAUCUUACAUUGAGUUACAAAAUUUUAUGAUAGUAGAAGAAGUUGGAAAGCUUCAACAUAGAAGGUGAUAUUCCUGUAUACGAAAUCAUAAAAUCUCAUAGAUGUAUCCUGAGUAGGGCGGGGCACGUGAAACCCUGUCUGAAUCUGCCGGGACCACCCGGUAAGGCUAAAUACUAAUCAGACACCGAUAGUGAACUAGUACCGUGAGGGAAAGGUGAAAAGAACCCCGAGAGGGGAGUGAAAUAGAUUCUGAAACCAUUUACUUACAAGUAGUCAGAGCACGUUAAAGUGUGAUGGCGUACAUCUUGCAGUAUGGGCCGGCGAGUUAUGUUAAUAUGCAAGGUUAAGCAGAAAAAAGCGGAGCCGUAGGGAAACCGAGUCUGAAUAGGGCGACUUUAGUAUAUUGGCAUAUACCCGAAACCAGGUGAUCUAUCCAUGAGCAGGUUGAAGCUUAGGUAAAACUAAGUGGAGGACCGAACCGUAGUACGCUAAAAAGUGCCCGGAUGACUUGUGGAUAGCGGUGAAAUUCCAAUCGAACCUGGAGAUAGCUGGUUCUCUUCGAAAUAGCUUUAGGGCUAGCGUAUAGUAUUGUUUAAUGGGGGUAGAGCACUGAAUGUGGAAUGGCGGCAUCUAGCUGUACUGACUAUAAUCAAACUCCGAAUACCAUUAAAAUUAAGCUAUGCAGUCGGAACGUGGGUGAUAACGUCCACGCUCGCGAGGGAAACAACCCAGAUCGUCAGCUAAGGUCCCAAAAUUGUGUUAAGUGAGAAAGGUUGUGAGAUUUCAUAAACAACUAGGAAGUUGGCUUAGAAGCAGCCACCUUUUAAAGAGUGCGUAAUUGCUCACUAGUCAAGAGAUCUUGCGCCAAUAAUGUAACGGGACUCAAACACAAUACCGAAGCUACGGGCACAUUAUGUGCGUUAGGAGAGCGUUUUAAUUUCGUUGAAGUCAGACCGUGAGGACUGGUGGAGAGAUUAAAAGUGAGAAUGCCGGCAUGAGUAACGAUUCGAAGUGAGAAUCUUCGACGCCUAUUGGGAAAGGUUUCCUGGGCAAGGUUCGUCCACCCAGGGUUAGUCAGGGCCUAAGAUGAGGCAGAAAUGCAUAGUCGAUGGACAACAGGUUAAUAUUCCUGUACUUGGUAAAAGAAUGAUGGAGUGACGAAAAAGGAUAGUUCUACCACUUACUGGAUUGUGGGGUAAGCAACAAGAGAGUUAUAUAGGCAAAUCCGGAUAGCAUAAUCUUGAGUUGUGAUGCAUAGUGAAGACUUCGGUCGAGUAACGAAUUGAAUGAUUUCAUGUUUCCAAGAAAAGCUUCUAGUGUUAAUUUUUUAUCAACCUGUACCGAGAACGAACACACGUUCCCAAGAUGAGUAUUCUAAGGCGAGCGAGAAAACCAAUGUUAAGGAACUCUGCAAAAUAACCCCGUAAGUUCGCGAGAAGGGGCGCCUAUUUUUAAUAGGCCACAGAAAAUAGGGGGGGCAACUGUUUAUCAAAAACACAGCUCUCUGCUAAGUUGUAAAACGACGUAUAGAGGGUGAAGCCUGCCCAGUGCCCGAAGGUUAAA